UACGUAGGUCCCGAGCGUUGUCCGGAUUUAUUGGGCGUAAAGCGAGCGCAGGUGGUUUAUUAAGUCUGGUGUAAAAGGCAGUGGCUCAACCAUUGUAUGCAUUGGAAACUGGUAGACUUGAGUGCAGGAGAGGAGAGUGGAAUUCCAUGUGUAGCGGUGAAAUGCGUAGAUAUAUGGAGGAACACGGGUGGCGAAAGCGGCUCUCUGGCCUGUAACUGACACUGAGGCUCGAAAGCGUGGGGAGCAAACAGG
rnacentral:rRNA from 1 species